UGGGGAAUAUUGGACAAUGGGGGCAACCCUGAUCCAGCAAUGCCGCGUGUGUGAAGAAGGCCUUCGGGUUGUAAAGCACUUUUAUCAGGAACGAAACGCGCAGGGUUAAUAGCCUUGUGAACUGACGGUACCUGAGGAAUAAGCACCGGCUAACUUCGUGCCAGCAGCCGCGGUAAUACGAAGGGUGCAAGCGUUACUCGGAAUUACUGGGCGUAAAGGGUGCGUAGGUGGUUGCUUAAGUCUGCUGUGAAAGCCCCGGGCUCAACCUGGGAAUGGCAGUGGAUACUGGGCAGCUAGAAUGCGGUAGAGGGUAGUGGAAUUCCCGGUGUAGCAGUGAAAUGCGUAGAGAUCGGGAGGAACACCAGUGGCGAAGGCGGCUACCUGGACCAGCAUUGACACUCAAGCACGAAAGCGUGGGGAGCAAACA
rnacentral:rRNA from 1 species